GCAACAGAGCAUUUCUCCGACAUCAACUCUUUGAAAACAUGACUUCAGUGAAGGGUGAUGGAAAUUUGAAUAUAGGGACUUGAAGUCUAGACUUUCCUCCAAACCGCCUCAACUACCAAACAAGUAGGACGUAGAUAUGAGUUCAGCUGAUCAACAUUAUGAGUCUAAUGAAAGGAUAAGCUUGAAAACAAGAAGGAAGUAAUUAAUUUGACACUUAAUAGUUAAUGCAUCCCCGUGCUGCCAGAUUUAAAAAUUCGAUUAACGACUUCUUUUUAGA
rnacentral:misc_RNA from 1 species